rnacentral:rRNA from 1 species
UACGAGGGGGGCAAGCGUUGUUCGGAAUUAUUGGGCGUAAAGGGUGCGUAGGCGGUUUGGUAAGUCUUAUGUGAAAUCUACAGGCUCAACUUGUAGUCUGCAUGAGAAACUGCCGGGCUUGAGUAUGGGAGAGGUGAGUGGAAUUCCUGGUGCAGCGGUGAAAUGCGUAGAUAUCAGGAGGAACACCUGUGGCGAAAGCGGCUCACUGGACCAUAACUGACGCUGAUGCACGAAAGCUAGGGGAGCAAACAGG